rnacentral:rRNA from 1 species
GACAGAGGUGCCGAGCGUUAGGCGGAAUCACUGGGCUUAAAGCGUGUGUAGGCGGGCGGGCAAGUACCUUGUGAAAUCCCACGGCUCAACCGUGGAAUGGCUGGGUAUACUGCCUGUCUUGAGCCAACUAGGGGCGAGCGGAACAGACGGUGGAGCGGUGAAAUGCGUAGAUAUCGUCUGGAACGCCAAAGGUGAAAACAGCUCGCUGGGGUUGUGCUGACGCUGAGACACGAAAGCCAGGGGAGCGAACGGG